UUAUUGGGCGUAAGGGCUCGCAGGCGGUUUCUUAAGUCUGAUGUGAAAGCCCCCGGCUCAACCGGGGAGGGUCAUUGGAAACUGGGGAACUUGAGUGCAGAAGAGGAGAGUGGAAUUCCACGUGUAGCGGUGAAAUGCGUAGAGAUGUGGAGGAACACCAGUGGCGAUGGCGACUCUCUGGUCUGUAACUGACGCUGAGGAGGGAAGGCGUGGGGAGC
rnacentral:rRNA from 1 species